rnacentral:rRNA from 1 species
AUGGAUUUUUGGCAAAUCAAUAAGUUCUUAAAAAAAUGUUUAUCAUUUCGGGAUUACAACAGUUUUGACUCCACCGAAAUAUGCAAAAUAAGGUUGGACUUUUUGACUGUGGUCCUGGGCGGAAAAUGGGAUGUAAUAAAUUACUUAAGAAUUAGCAAAUGGGCUGCAAAUUAUAAAAAAUAG